AUUCCCGGUUGAUCCUGCCGGAGGCCAUUGCUAUCGGAAUCCGAUUUAGCCAUGCUAGUCGCACGGGUUUAGACCCGUGGCGAACAGCUCAGUAACACGUGGCCAAACUGCCCUGUGGACGGGGAUAAUCUCGGGAAACUGAGGCUAAUCCCCGAUAGGGCUUCCAUCCUGGAGUGGAGGAAGUCCAAAAGUCUGCGCUGCGGCACCACAGGAUGUGGCUGCGGCCGAUUAGGUAGACGGUGGGGUAACGGCCCACCGUGCCAGUAAUCGGUACGGGUGAUGAGAGUCAGAGCCCGGAGACGGUAUCUGAGACAAGAUACCGGGCCCUACGGGGCGCAGCAGGCGCGAAACCUUUACACUGCACGACAGUGCGAUAGGGGGAUUCCGAGUGCGAGGGCAUACAGUCCUCGCUUUUCUGGACCGUAAGGAGGUCCAAGAAUAAGGGCUGGGCAAGACCGGUGCCAGCCGCCGCGGUAAUACCGGCAGCCCGAGUGAUGGCCGAUAUUAUUGGGCCUAAAGCGUCCGUAGCU
rnacentral:rRNA from 1 species